GGAUCUGAUCCAUGCAAUGUACAUGCAACUAAAAAGUUUCAUUUUUUGCAUCGCGCAACAUUUUUUUGCAUUGCACAAAAUUGUUUGACACCCGCCCCCUCUGCAGUUUCCUGUACGGGAUGAGUGGGAGGACGAGCCUUGUUGCGGAGGGAAAUGGCCUUAGUUGAACUGGGUGAGAGAAGGACAACAAGCUCUUUCCCACCCCCGACCAACGCCGAGCAAAAACAAAAGGACGGCGAAGAGACACACCCCCCCCCCCAGGUAUCCCCGCUUCAAAAUGGGAUUUUGAUGAUAGGCUCUUCUUGACACCCCUCACCCAGCAGAAUGAUGAUGGAGACGCUCCUUCAGGCAAAGGACAGGAGAAAAAGUUGUCAUCAGAAACAGGCAAGCAGAAACCAGGAAAAGAGGCGUCCGGGAAUAGAAAGGGACUGAUAAGGACAGAGAGAAACAAGUCAGAGAAGAAAUCAUGUACUCUUCAGGGUCCUGAUACUUAUGAACGCUCAAUCCCACAGAAAAACAACAAAGGGAAAGAAAAGGGUAUCUUCAGGAGAGGAAAAGGCUACACAAAUCCAGAGUGGAGUUUGUAAGAUGAUGCCUCGCAUGUUUUCUUCCAGAAACUCCUGCAGCCAAGCUGGUGCCAAACAUCUUCUCUGACUGUCUUGCCAGAGUGGUGCAUGCUCU